rnacentral:lncRNA from 1 species
UGGGGCAACUUUUUUCCAUUAUUUUUUCACUGCGAAAACAGUAAAGUCAAUGUUACGUGGAUGGAAUUAAAAAACCACGGGAAAUAAUACAUUUAUUUUUGAAGUUAAUAGGGAAAUGAAUGACAUCAGUCAUCAAGCUCGAUCUUGAUAUCAUGAAUGGUAAUGGCGUCGCCGGCGUUGGUGGGGACCAAAGUGACCAAGACGUGUUCAUCAUCCUCGGCGUCGAGGUCUUCCAAAAUGUCCGAGAUCGACAACCUCAGCUGCGUCUUAAUCUUCUUAUCAUGCUUAUGUUUGUGCGGCACGUUCACGAAGCUUCCGGCGAACUCCGUGUUCUCCGCCGUCGUGAUCUCGUCGUCCUCGUCGUUGAUGUACACGUCGAACUUCACGUAAGUAUCACGAUCAACUUCAAUCCCUUUGAUCACCAAGAUCUCCUCCAGCUCAUCCUUCUCCUUCUUGCUCCUCUUCUUCUUCGGCCUCUUCACCAUCACCUUCAAAACCCGGUCCAAUUUCGCCGGAACACCUCCCUAGGGCUCUGCGCGUCCGCCGCCUUCGCUCUCCCCAGCUUCUUCAGCUUCCUCAACACCGAAGAAACCCGCGGCGUCGGGCGGCUGUGUUGAGAAUAAGACACCANUAGCCUUGCCACCGAGCAUGUUUCAUCCACUCCAGAACAAUCUAGUCCGCUGCAUGAGCCUAUAUCUUCUCCGCCACUGAUAUCUGAGGUAAGAUCUUCUGAACCUACUAUUGUGGCUUCUGAUUCUGCUGAUAAUAUUCUCAAGUCAUUGAAGAAGAACAGGAGAUAAUACAGUAGAUGGAGAUACUGGAAGAUAUGUGCUACCACCCAGGAGCAAUCGGGGUGUACCUCCUAAACGGUAUACCCCAGAGAAAAUUACGAGGAAUUCCCGAUACUCAAUUGGGAAUAUCGCCAAGGGAAACUUGUCCAAAAAUGCCACAGCCUAUGAAGCGGCCUUAUAUGAUGAGGAGAUUCCACAACAGCAGAGCAAGCCCUGAAGAUCGAGCAUUGGAGAAAUGCUAUGAAGAAAGAGAUAGGAGCCCUAAACCGAAACCACACAUGGGAGAAGUGUAGACUACCAAAAGGAAGAAAACUAUAGGAUGCAGAUGGGUUUCACAAUCAAAAGAAAACCCGAUGGAUCUAUUGAACGAUACAAAGCUCGACUGGUCGCAAAAGGAUACACACAAACAUAUGGAAUCGACUAUGAAGAAACCUUCUCACCUGUUGCAAAAAUGAACACUGUCAGAGUGCUCAUCUCAAUUGCUGCAAACAAGGACUGGGAUCUUCAUCAAUUCGAUGUUACAAAUGCAUUCCUACAUGGAGAGCUUGAAGAAGAAAGAGAAGUAUACAUGGAAGCACCCCAAGGCUUCUCAGAAGAGUUCGAAGAGGGGAAGUAUGCAAAUUGAAAAAAACCUUAUAUGGGCUCAAACAGUCUCCCAGAGCUUGGUUUGGAAGAUUCACCACAGCCAUGAAGAAGUUCGGGUACCAGCAAAGCAACUCAGACCACACCUUAUUCUUAAAGAAACGAGGUGAUCUAAUCUCUUGCUUAGUCAUUUACGUUGAUGACAUGAUCAUAACAGGAGAUGACACAGAAGAAAUUCAAAAGUUAAAGAAAGCUUUUCAAAGAGUUCGAAAUGAAGGACCUAGGAAAACUAAAAUACUUCCUCGGAAUCGAAGUACUCAGAUCAAAGAAAGGAAUCUUCAUCAACCAGAAGAAGUAUACUCUAGACCUCCUAGCGGAAACAGGGAUGCUAGAUUGCAAGCCAGCAGAAACGCCUAUGACCGUAAAUCAUGGGCUACAAAUUGUGAAAGGAGCUCAAUUAGCCGAUCGAGGAAAAUAUCAACGUCUGGUAGGAAAACUCAUCUAUCUUUCCCAUACUCGGCCUGAUAUUGCGUAUGCUGUUGGAGUUGUGAGUCAGUUUAUGCACCAACCACAAGCUGACCACAUGGAAGCUGCGCUUAGAAUUGUGAGAUAUUUGAAGAAGACUUUUGACUAUGGAGUGCUGUUCAAAAAGAUCUGGACACCUUGAGAUACAAGCUUACACUGAUGCUGACUGGGCAGGAAACCCGAAUGACAGAAAGUCAACAGCUGGAUACUUUGCAUCUGUGGGAGGAAAUCUUGUCUCAUGGAGAAGCAAGAAACAAAAGGUGGUUGCUCUCUCAAGUGCAGAAUCAGAAUUCAGAGGGAUCAAGAGUGGGUUAACUGAAGUCCUUUGGCUAAGAAGAUUGUUGAUGGAAUUAGGCCUUCACCCAACAAAGACGUGCAAAUUGUACUGCGACAACAAGGCUGCCAUCAGCAUAUCCGAGAACCCAGUUCAACAUGAUAGAACUAAACAUGUCGAAGUGGAUAGGCACUUUAUCAAGGAGAAGAUUGAAGAAAAGAUUGUGGAGCUCCCGUUUGUGAGAUCCGAAGAUCAGCUCGCUGAUAUCUUAACCAAGGCUGUGGACUUCAAAAGUUUUUCAGAAGUUCUUUCCAAGUUGAGCAUCGGAAAUCCUGUCACUCAACUUGAGGGGGAGUGUUGAGAAUAAGACACCAAAGUCCGUAAAAGCAGCAGGAAAACAAGGAUCCCUUAAAGCAGCAGGAAAACAAGGAUCCCUUAAUCAAGGAAUCCUUAUAUGACUUUGUAUCAGCAAUAUUAAAUAUCAUCUCCCAUCAAACACUAUAAAUGGGAGAAGUGUAUCAGUAGGAAAAAAUACAACAAGCAAUACAACAACAAUUAUCAAUCUUCUCUUUUCUCUGCAUUAUGAUAAAUACCAUGUGUUAACAGGCUGUUGGCCCAUGGAAUCUCCACAUCUUGAUAGGCAUACCCGAGUUUCCUCGGGUCCAAACAGUCCCUUACCUUGACCCGAACCAUUUUCGCGUUCUCGUCGUAGAAAAGGAACGCCGCGUCGAGGAAAUCAGGAUCCGUUAUGUCCU